UGGGGCUCAGUGGUAGAGUGCUUACUUAGCACGUAUGAGGCCCUGGGUUCCAUUCUCAGCA
rnacentral:tRNA from 1 species